GUGGGGAAUUUUGGACAAUGGGGGCAACCCUGAUCCAGCAAUGCCGCGUGCAGGAAGAAGGCCUUCGGGUUGUAAACUGCUUUUGUACGGAACGAAAAGGCUCUGGUUAAUACCUGGGGCACAUGACGGUACCGUAAGAAUAAGCACCGGCUAACUACGUGCCAGCAGCCGCGGUAAUACGUAGGGUGCAAGCGUUAAUCGGAAUUACUGGGCGUAAAGCGUGCGCAGGCGGUGCUGUAAGAACGGCGGGAAAUCCCCGGGCUUAACCUGGGAAUGGCGCUUGUGACUGCAGUGCUGGAGUGUGGCAGAGGGGGAUGGAAUUCCGCGUGUAGCAGUGAAAUGCGUAGAUAUGCGGAGGAACACCGAUGGCGAAGGCAAUCCCCUGGGCCUGCACUGACGCUCAUGCACGAAAGCGUGGGGAGCAAACAGGAUUAGAAACCCUGGUAGUCC
rnacentral:rRNA from 1 species